UAAGACAUGCAAGUCGAACGACGAUUAUGGGGUAGCAAUAUUCCAUGAUUUGAGUGGCGUAAGGGUGCGUAACACGUGGGCAAUCUGCCGUAAAACUGGGGAUAACUCGCUGAAAGGCGAGCUAAUACCGAAUGUGAUCCAAGUGGGGCAUCCCGCUUGAAUUAAAGCUGGGGACCGCAAGGCCUGGCGCUUUACGAUGAGCCUGCGGCCUAUCAGCUAGUUGGUGAGGUAAUGGCUCACCAAGGCGAAGACGGGUAGCUGGUCUGAGAGGACGACCAGCCACACUGGAACUGAGACACGGUCCAGACACCUACGGGUGGCAGCAGUCGAGAAUUUUUCUCAAUGGGCGAAAGCCUGAAGGAGCGACGCCGCGUGGGGGAUGAAUGGCUUCGGCCCGUAAACCCCUGUCAUUUGUGAACAAACGUUUCGGCCCAAUACGCCGGAACCUGAUAGUAACGAAAGAGGAAGGGACGGCUAACUCUGUGCCAGCAGCCGCGGUAAUACAGAGGUCCCAAGCGUUGUUCGGAUUCACUGGGCGUAAAGGGUGCGUAGGUGGUCGGAUAAGUCCGAUGUGAAAUCCCGGAGCUCAACUCUGGAACUGCAUUGGAUACUAUUCGACUAGAGGGUUGGAGGGGGGACUGGAAUUCUCGGUGUAGCAGUGAAAUGCGUAGAUAUCGAGAGGAACACCGGUGGCGAAGGCGAGUCCCUGGACAACUCCUGACGCUGAGGCACGAAAGCUAG
rnacentral:rRNA from 1 species